GUGAAGCGAUGCCUCAGGCUGGUAUGAACUUUGAGCCUAAAAGAAGGGGAACCUAUCACAACAGCCGUAAAACCAAUGAUCUGAUCAACAACAUAGGUUUGGUUAAUGGAGCAGUUGUUUACAAUGGAUGCUCAGCUUCUGCCAGCAGAAUCAGUAGGAGCACACCAGCUGGCACACAGCAUGGUCCUAAACCCACAUACAGGAUUAACGGUUAUAUUAACCAUGGCUACAAAGGCAAGAGUACAAAAGCAGCACCCCCAGGGACCAUCAAGAAACAAGGAUGCAAAAUUUCAGCUCUCUGUGAUUCCCCAGCAUCUGAUGGAAACCGCAGUGAAGAUCUCAUGAGUGGUAACUCAGCCAAAGUUAGUGCUCCGCCCAGUAAUAUUAACCAAAAGGUACCAGAUCUCAGCCUGUCAGCGUCAGGGAAGAACAAAAGGUGGAGGAGAUCUAGACACAAGAAGAGAGACAAAGAAGUCGUCUACCCGGAAAAUCUUGCACCCGCACCCACAGAAGCGGAGGAAGACUGGGAAAAGGAGAUCCAGGAGGGCACGCGCUCUGACCGGGAAAACAUGUGUUUUGGGGCCAGACCUUAUGGUCCAGAAGACGUCGUCCAUUUUGCUUUGCAGGACCUGACACUGAAGCAAAGGGACACAGCGGCCCUGCCGGUGUCAGUCGGUUACAGCCCAGCGGUGCACCACCCACACCCCCUGACAUGGUCCCGUUACAGCAUUUCCACUGAGCCAGACCAAUUCGCAGACGCUGACUACAGGGGCCAAUAA
rnacentral:lncRNA from 1 species